rnacentral:tRNA from 1 species
CUGGAUAGCUCAGUCGGUUAGAGCAUCGGUCUUAUAAACCGAGAGUCGCGGGUUCGAUUCCCGCUCCAAACCCA